rnacentral:lncRNA from 1 species
AAACUAAAUAUUGUCCUCAAUGUUAGAAAAAAUAAAGAAAAGGUAAAAAAUACUCCCUUGGUGGUUGGAUGAAUCCAAAGAAACUCUAAUCUUCCUCCUCAUCUUCAUUGUCAUCAAUGCUUGUAGGAGGCCUUUUUUUUAUUUACUGUAAAAAGAAAAUAAAUAAAGAUUAAAGUAAACAUAUAAAUAAAUCAAAUAAAAAUAACUGAAAUGAGAAAAUAUAAGUUUCGAAAGCUUGGGUUGCCUCCCAAGAAGUGCUUCUUUAUGGUCACUAGCUUGACUUUGGUUGAAAUCUUUUAAGGAGGCUUGAAUUUGUGUGGAAAAAGCUUGAGGUGUGAAAGUAGCCUUCUCUUAAGAUACGAUUGUAAUGGCUUUAUGUCACAGCCCAAUUUCUGGGCCAUGAUCGACGCAAAGGCCCAAUGGGCUGAGCCCACUAAGCCCAAGCAAGCCUAUUUAUAUAAUCUUAUACAUUAAUCCACAUUUCUUUAAAAUCCACAAUUCGUAGUGUUCAACUAUAAUUCUUUUGAAAACAAUUCAUAAAACCCAAUCAUGCAUUCAUAAUGGCAUCAUCAACCAUUACAUACAUAUAUAGAUUAACAAAUGAAUCUUAAUAUUUCACAUCAAGUAUUCAUAUACACAUAAUUAGACCUUGACUGUUAGCGGAAUGACUCUGGGCACGAUUGCUAACGUUUAGUGUCAUGUUAUACCUACCAAGCAAUGGAUAGGGAAGAGCACCUCGUCCUAGGAUCCAAUCACCUUUAACUCAAUAAACUUAAAACAUGAAUUUUAAAAAUGUGAGUACAAACUCAAUAAGUGAACAUAGGAAGGGAACAAGCAAUGACAAGGAAAAUUUAGAAAUCAUGAUGCACUUAAGUUUGAAAACAAUGCAACUUAGUUCAAGUUCUUAUUAAAAUCCCUCUAUUAAACCCAUGGUUAUUAAAUCGUUUAAUGAUGAAGGAACCAUAUUUACCAUGAAAUUUGAAAGAGAGGAAAUUUCCAACAAUCAUUCCAUCUCACCCAGCUCAUGUGCAUCCCACCACAUUGUGCACAUAGCCGGACAGUAUCACCAUCCAUCUCCCUCACCACCGUCAUCACCGGUAAGUGCACACUCACCCCGCACAUGCACGAUUGCAUUUGUCACACAAUGGUACCAUUUAUGACAUAGUAUACAUAUAUAUAUCAACAUCAUACAAAAACAUAUGGAUUCAUUCUUUUACACAUUUCACAAUUCACAACAUCAAACAUUUUAUCAAGGGCUUGUUCCUAGGAAAUUUUAAUGCAAAUACUAAUAAAAUUUCCAAAUGAUUCAUUGAAACACGUAAACAUUUCCCCAAAACAUUUUGAAAUGCAAGUUCACUCACCUGACAAAACUAACACCGACAAGGUUCUAAUCCAGGUAGUCCCGAAAUACCAUUAAACCUAUAUUUAUCAAUAAACCAUAACAACCUCAAUUAAGUUAUAAAUUUAAAUCUAAUAAUUCUAAUAAAUUUACAUUAGGUAAUCUACCCUCUAACCAAACAUUUAACCUAAAUUUCUAGUCUAAUUCUCAAACCCAUCAUAUCAACUAUUUCCAAAUGUAAAGAUUCUUUACCUUGGUGAGCUCGAAGGCAUGAAAAUCAACGAAAAACCUAAUCUUUCCAAAAAAAUAAUUUGAAGAAAUUAAGGAAUAAAUCUGAAAAUAUAACCAUAAAUUCAAAAUUCCAAAAGUUGGAAAUAUAUACCUUUCAACCUUGAAAAUGAAGAUUUGAAGCCAAAAAUCCAAGUGUUGUUGAAAGUGAAUUAGAAAUAGAAAAUAAAGGAAAGAAAGAGAGAUUUUUCUUUCUUUCUCCUUGGGUUUGGAAGUGUUGGAAAUUGGGGUUAGAAGUUGUAACUUUGGUGCACAAGGAGUUGGGAGAAGAAAGAAGCAAGAAGAGAAAGGAAAUGAAAAGAAAACAAGGAAAGAAAAUGAAAGAAAAUU